rnacentral:rRNA from 1 species
GAUGAACGCUGGCGGCGUGCCUAAUACAUGCAAGUCGAACGAAACUUCUUUAUCACCGAGUGCUUGCACUCACCGAUAAAGAGUUGAGUGGCGAACGGGUGAGUAACACGUGGGCAACCUGCCCAAAAGAGGGGGAUAACACUUGGAAACAGGUGCUAAUACCGCAUAACCAUAGUUACCGCAUGGUAACUAUGUAGAAGGUGGCUAUACUACCGCUUUUGGAUGGGCCCGCGGCGCAUUAGCUAGUUGGUAGGGUAAAGGCUUACCAAGGCAAUGAUGCGUAGCCGAAUUGAGAGGUUGAUCGGCCACAUUGGGACUGAGACACGGCCCAAACUCCUACGGGAGGCAGCAGUAGGGAAUCUUCCACAAAGGGCGAAAGCCUGAUGGAGCAACGCCGCGUGGGUGAAGAAGGUCUUCGGAUCGUAAAACCCUGUUGUUGGAGAAGAAAGUGCGUGAGAGUAACUGUUCACGUUUCGACGGUAUCUAACCAGAAAGCCACUGCUAACUACGUG